CAGUAGCCGCGGUAAUACGAAGGGGGCUAGCGUUGCUCGGAAUUACUGGGCGUAAAGGGAGCGCAGGCGGAUCGUUAAGUUGGGGGUGAAAGCCCGGGGCUCAACCUCGGAACUGCCUUCAAUACUGGCGAUCUUGAGUAUGAGAGAGGUGUGUGGAACUCCGAGUGUAGAGGUGAAAUUCGUAGAUAUUCGGAAGAACACCAGUGGCGAAGGCGACACACUGGCUCAUUACUGACGCUGAGGCUCAAAAGCGUGGGGAGCAAACAGGAUUAGAUACCCCAGUAGUCCCUGUCUCUUAUAA
rnacentral:rRNA from 1 species